GACCACGGGUUGCAUGAGGGACUGACAC
rnacentral:sRNA from 1 species